rnacentral:rRNA from 1 species
GACGAACGCUGGCGGCGUGCCUAAUACAUGCAAGUAGAACGCUGAAGAGAGGAGCUUACUCUUCUUGGAUGAGUUGCGAACGGGUGAGUAACGCGUAGGUAACCUGCCUUGUAGCGGGGGAUAACUAUUGGAAACGAUAGCUAAUACCGCAUAACAAUGGAUGACACAUGUCAUUUAUUUGAAAGGGGCAAUUGCUCCACUACAAGAUGGACCUGCGUUGUAUUAGCUAGUAGGUGAGGUAAUGGCUCACCUAGGCGACGAUACAUAGCCGACCUGAGAGGGUGAUCGGCCACACUGGGACUGAGACACGGCCCAGACUCCUACGGGAGGCAGCAGUAGGGAGUCUUCGGCAAUGGGGGCAACCCUGACCGAGCAACGCCGCGUGAGUGAAGAAGGUUGUCGGAUCGUAAAGCUCUGUUGUAAGUCAAGAACGGGUGUGAGAGUGGAAAGUUCACACUGUGACGGUAGCUUACCAGAAAGGGACGGCUAACUACGUG